rnacentral:lncRNA from 1 species
CUGUAUUAACCAACUCAUUGGCAUGCUUGGAAUUGAAAGAGUAUGAAGUAGGGAUAGGUGGUGGGAGAGAUUAGAAAAUCUCUACUUUUUGAAAAAUGGGUUUGAAUAUGCACUUCCUCAUCAUAUCAUUGGACUCAAAACAAAGAUAUUUUCCAUUUAUAAUAUUUAACCACUUAUAUUUUAAAUAUAUGAAUAUGAAAAAAGAAAAAAAAACUAAUGAAAAUCAAAUAUUUUCAACUAGAAAAAUCAUCACAUAGAACAAACGAUAUCUAUUCUAUGCUAUCUAAAGUAAAACAAAGAUUUCCAUUCAUCAUCUAAAC